UGAGAGCAGAAAAGGGGAGGUGGAAGGAGGAAGAUGCUUUUUCUGCCUUCUUACUCCAUGAAGAAGUAUGGGAUCUCCCUUCUCUCUUUGGAGAGCAUCUCUGCCCUGCUGGAAACCCAGCACUGAGAAGGUUUUGCUGCUCCAGCAGGUGACUUAGCACAGGAACAGGGGCUAUGAAGAGUGCUCUGAAGGACCAUCUUUCUCCCUGUAUCCAUGCUCCAAAGGACUGUCUUUCUCCCCAGAUCUGCACAGGUAACCCAGGAGGGCUGGUGUCCUCCACCAGUGCCUACCUGACCAGUAGUGGCUGCCCACCUGCCUGCUCCAGUCCCUGACACUAAGGAAAGCUUUGCUCUACCCCCUGCACAAUGUCAAGUGGUGCUGUGGAUAAUUCAGCUGCCACCCAGAAUCCUACAGUAUAAUGCCAUAACAAGAUGUUGUAAAACAAACCAUAAAAUGUAAAUGACGACUGUACCUGAACUGAAAAUACACUGGAGGCUAGAAAAAAGAAGGGAGAGAAGAAAGGGAGCCAUAGCCAGCAAGCCUGAAAACCAGCAGUACCUUGUGGUGGAGCACAGGAUUCAUCUGGGUGACAUUUCAAAGGAUAAAUAUGGAGCACUGGCCUGUUCUGACCUGAGGCUACAGGCAAAAGGUGUCCCCUAAGGUUAGGAGAG